GCGCAGUGCGAGCUGUCUUUCAGAGUAGUCGGUUGACAGUUGGACACCGCUGGGUGAAGACGCAAAGAUAGGUGUGGUGCAGUCGAAAGGUCGAGCGUUUAUUUUGUGCACAGAAACAAAUUUAUUAUUUUAAGAGUCACGCGACAGUUAGACACCUUAGGUGAAAAGGCCGGGAUAGGUUUGGCGCAGAAUUCAUUAGGCGUAGAACCAAAUGCUUAAAUCCCACCGAGACACUGCACAUCAAGCACCAGCCGUUUGUUAGCACUGAGAAACCCUGCGCCCGUUUAUGCAUUUAUUAUAUUUAACCAAAUAAAUACAUUUAUUAUAUUAGAACUGAAUAAAUACAUUUUUCUGUGGUUUUUUUCAUUUUGAUAUGAUGAUGAUGAAGAUUGUAGUAAAUCCAAAGGAGAAAAGGAAGACGAUAUGCAUGUGAUAAUUGUUUGAGCACUUUAAAAUUCAAUCUGCUUGGUAUGAUCUGUAAAUAUUGCUUUUGGAAUUGGUUUUUAUAUACAGAUGUAGCUUGUCUGUAUAUAUUGUCAACUGCGUCUGUCAUUGUCCUCGCUGUCGUGCGCUUUUCAUAAAUGUUUACUUGUUAUACUUGAUACAUAGCACUUAAAAGUCCGGUCAAGCAGUUACCUCUUUUGCUAAAACUUGCCCUUUUCAUUACAGUUUGAAAUCCUUGCUUGGAUAAUAAAUGGAACACAGUCCUUAAUGCAGACUAAGCAUUCAUUUUUCUCUAACUUCUGAUAAUGAUUCUGAAAUGAAAUGCAGCCCUGUUUCGAAUAACUGCCUUUUUCCUGUCUUUAAUAAAUUUCUUUUUAGCAUCGUCCUCUCGGGUAUUCUUUUCCCUGAUUUUUUUAAAAUUUAGCUAAGAACAAUUUUGGGUGGGUUUGGGUUUUUGCUACCACAAAUUGAUUUUAAUUUGACGACUAAGUUUUGUUACUACACCUAAAAAUAAUAAAAAGAUAGUUGAAAAUGUGAAAAACAUUUCAGCAACAUUAAAUGACACUUAGCAAAUGACAACAGUUGAAAUUUGCUUAAAAUCGUUCUUUAUAUUAUACUUGUAGGUUUAUAUGCCAAGCUUUACUGCUUAAAUAUACGUUCUUUUGUUUGCAUGCAUUUCUUUUUUUUUUUGUUCACGGUGAC